GAGAUGGGAGUAAUUCUAUACACAACUUUUUUUUCUUCUUAUUACCACGAUAUUUUUUCAUUGAUUGGUUGAGUAGUCAUUAAGUUCUGGAAAUUGAGUUUGUAUAGGGACACUUUUCGUUUAAUAUUCUUAAAACAAAUGUUUUUGGAUAGAAGCUAUUUUUACUUAUUUUUACCGAUCUAUUUUCUUUGUCUGAAAGUGGGU